CAGCUCUCCGAGUGGUAGGGAUGAUUAUUGGGCUUAAAGCGUCCGUAGCCGGCUUAGCAAGUCUCCUGUUAAAUUCAGCGACCUAAUCGUUGAGCCGCGGGAGAUACUACUAGGCUAGGAGGCGGGAGAGGCCGACGGUACUUCCGGGGUAGGGGUGAAAUCCUAUAAUCCCGGGAGGACCACCAGUGGCGAAGGCUGUUGACUAGAACGCGCUCGACGGUGAGGGACGAAAGCUGGGGGAGCGAACCGGAUUAGAUACCCGAGUAGUCC
rnacentral:rRNA from 1 species